rnacentral:tRNA from 1 species
UCUAAUGUGGCAGAAUAAGAGCCAUGAACUUAAGAUUCAUAUAUAAAGAUAUAUCUUUCAUCAGAA